CACACGACUCUCGGCAACGGAUAUCUCGGCUCUCGCAUCGAUGAAGAACGUAGCAAAAUGCGAUACCUGGUGUGAAUUGCAGAAUCCCGCGAACCAUCGAGUUUUUGAACGCAAGUUGCGCCCGAGGCCUUUUGGCCGAGGGCACGUCUGCCUGGGCGUCACGC
rnacentral:rRNA from 2 species